UAAAAAAAUAGGAUUUGAACCUACCCUUGAGAGAUCAAAACUCCCCGUGCCCCCCACUACACUAUUUCUUA
rnacentral:tRNA from 1 species